UAAAGGCGACGCCUGCCCAGUGAAAAUUAAACGGCCGCGGUAUCCUAACCGUGCAAAGGUAGCAUAAUCAUUUGUCUAUUAAUUGUAGACCUGUAUGAAAGGCAAAAUGAGGGCCCAACUGUCUCUUAUAACAAAUCAAUUAAACUGAUCUCCUAGUACAAAAGCUAGAAUAAUAACAUAAGACCAGAAGACCCUGUGAAGCUUUAACUAACCUAUUAAACCCAAUAAUAGCUACUUUUGGUUGGGGCGACCUUGGAAUAAAAAAGAACUUCCAACCUAUGACUCCCUCAUAAAAAAGGCAAACAAGCCAACACUAGACCCAGCACAGCUGACAAUUGAAACAAGUUACUCCAGGGAUAACAGCGCUAUCUUCUUUAAGAGCCCAUAUCAAAAAGAAGGUUUACGACCUCGAUGUUGGAUCAGGACACCCCAGUAAUGCAACCGUUACUAAAGGUUCGUUUGUUCAACGAUUAAUAGUCCUACGUGAUCUGAG
rnacentral:rRNA from 1 species